UUAAUUACGUCCUGAAUGUAUCAUCUCUAUUUCUAAUAUCUGAAUACACAAGGAAACUAUAAUCUCUUCCUUCACCUUAUCGGUCUCUUCCUUAUAGCAAUUCAGUCAUAUCAAUAACUGCUAUUUCCACCAAUAUAUUCACCCUCAUAAUCUCUAACUAUAAUAUUGUGCCCUCACAGCUUUCAGCACACAAUUACCCUCAUUCCAAUCACUGGAAUUCUUCACACAAAACUGCCAUUUACAUUACAAUGUUUCACACAAACACAGACUCAUUCUCUCUGUUGAGCUACAAUCAGAUUUCAACAUUCAAUCUUUCUUCUUCUCAAAUAAUACUAAUCACAUUUCUAUUCCAUAAUUCACUUCACAAUAUUCAAAAACUCUCAAUCCUCUUAUUCAAAGAAAAUAACAAACAAAAGAAAAGAGGUAGGACCAAGCUUACCCCGGCUCACACUAUCAUAGCGAUGGCCAUCGGCUCACGACUCUCACAGUCUGGCCCUCGGCUUACGACUCUCACAGUCUAGCAUCUUAAUUAACUUUUACAACUCUUAUAUACUUUUUUCUAAUUCUCUAGAUUCUAACCAUAAUUUUGUAAUUAAUCACUUUUAAUAACUAAAUCACUCAUCCGUCCUCCUGAAUUUCUUAUUAUAUGGACUAUUAAUAUAUUUUAUCAAUAUCUUUCAAAAAUGAAUUAAUAUCUAUUCUUCAUAGUCCUACUCCUAUUUAUACAGUGUCCUCGUAAACAUUCAAUUGAUACCUAUCUAAAAAUUAUCUAACAAAUCUCCACAAAAAUUGCGAUCCCUUUGGCCUAUCUAAUUAAUUAAUUACCACAGUAUCUAUUAUUGGUUCCACUGAUUCCAAUUCCAACUGUAAAUCUUCUUCUUCUUCCAAUCCUUCCAUCGACUCCUGCCUCAACUGAGCUGAAAGGUCUUCAUUGUACUUAUCCAGUUCAUGGACUUGAGCUUCCUAUUUUAGGAUCUAGACAUCUCUCAAUUCCAUUUGUUGUUGCUGACUCAUCCAUUCUGGAAUAUCUUCAAUUAACACUUAUGACCGGCUCCUCACUGUUAACUCUUAACUAAAACUACUACUCUCAAAAAUACAAGAAAUACAAGAAAAUCGCACUCCAGCCAACUCAAAAAAGCACCACAAAAUGACUUUAACUGGUGCUCCAUUCCUAUUCUUUUACCUAGUGGUGAUAAUGACAACAUGUUACCCAUACUGUCUGUAAAAGGUAAUAGAAAGUAAUCUUUCUUAGUGGCCGCAUUUAACUUUCAAAAAUCUUGACAUAUCUUGAUUUUUCCAUUCUUCUUCCUUAUCAUCACGAUUUGCGACACCCAUGCACUAUGCAGAACAUAAUAAAUAAAAACCACGUUGAGAAGUUUAUCCAAUUCCUCUUUCACUAAAAAGAAAUAUUUUGGUCUAAUUCGGUGUUGUCUUUGACGAACUAGCGUAACAUCCUCCUCUAGAAUAAUCUGGUGCUCACACAUGUCAACUGAAAUACCUUUCAAAUCCGCAUACGAUGACACAAAGGUAGAUUUGUGAUGGACAAAAAACUGUUUCCAAGCAUCCAAUUUUGUACUGAUAAUAUCGGCAUAUAUUUUAAUUAGUUGUGGCAUUUCAUUGGUAUCCAGGUUAAUAGAUUGACACACAGGGACUUCAACAAUCUCUGAUUUAAUUAUCUUCUCCUGAUCUAAAUAUCUUGUAUUAUCCGACAUAUGGGAACCACCAAAAUCUGGUUCUAAUGUGCUGACUCUAUUGACUGCGGAAUUGUUCAUCCAUUCGAUAAUAGCAUGAUUUGAGUUAGUCGCAUCCUCCUGAUGUAGUAAAUAUUUGUCGGGACUUCCACAUUACUAGACUCCUACCUUUGUUAUUAAAGUGUUUUGUCCUACCUCAAAUUGCGGUGAACCUAUAGCAUCGUCAUUUACCUCAAUCGAUUGACUCUCCUUGUCCGAUGUAAAUUCUGAUUUUGGCAAUUGAGAUUCUCCAUGAUAUUGUACCGGAUACAUUCGUAAAAUAAUUUGGUCACGGCCUUUUCCAAUUGUCAAUGUGCCUCGGCCCCAAUCGUUCUUAGCUUUGGCUUGAUAAAGCCAAGAUCUGUCCAAUAAAAUGGCACACAAUAACGUAGAACUCUGUAAUCGAAAUACAUUAUAAUCGAUUUUGUAUGUCAAUCCUGCGAUUAUAGUGGCAAUAUUGCGUAAGAUUACCAUUGGCUUUACCCGACUAUGAUCUGCCAUUCACAAGACCAAUGUCAUAGGUAGCAAUUGCUUUAGAUCCAAGUCCUCUAUUAUAUCCGCAUUCAUUAAAUUCACAUUGGAGCCACCAUCGAUUUGUACCUCUGGAAUUAAAAUGCCAUCAAUUGAUACAUCGAUUGUUGGUGCUCUCGGAUCUAAGUUUAAGCUAAUUUCAUGAAUUUCUUUAGUGUGGGAUCUUUAUCAUAUUAGCGCUGAAUUCAAUGUAGAUCGACAUUCUGGUGCUACAACCAAAAUUUACUUCAUUAUAAUUGAAGGCUAAAUAACAUCCAAAUCCUUUAGAAUGUCAUAGGGUUCCAUAUUGAGAGUAAUUUCCAACGCUCUUUUGCAUUUCAUUGGUUUUGAUUUUACUCUGUGAGGUAAGAUAUUCUUCCACCCUAGACUCGGAAUUGGAACAGCAGCGGAGGCUUCCUUGGAAUUUCCACCCCCGAAAGGAUCUUUCAGUGAAUAAGACAUUUCUCGAAACUGCGUAGAGAUCGGAAACGCUUGGAAUGGAACCGAAGCCUCCAUAAUUGGGACCUCAUUGAGUUGUGCUACCAAGUCAGGUCUCGAAUUGGGUACAAAGUACGUAACAAGACUUGGAUUAGAUGGUCCCGAUAAAUUGGCGUGUAGAACCAAAUUGGGUUCCUCAGUCUGUUGAAGUCUCAAUAUUGGGAUACAUCCCAAUACUGAUAUUGGUUUAUUUAGCCUCGUGGACGGUGCUACUUGCUCUCCUAUGAUUGCUUCAUCCAGGUCCUGAAUUGGAUUCUUAUCUUUUUCUUGGCCUUUGAUAAGUUCUGCAUUCACCACCUCGACACGAUGUACUGGUGAGUCUCGUUGAACAGGGCCUUUAUCCUCCGCCGGUUGGCUUGUUUGCAUUUGCUGGUCUCGGUUAUUAUAAUUAAAGGGCACAUUGCACUGUUGAUAAGUGUAACUAGAUUGCUUAUAAUUUCAACAUAUUGGAGCAUAGUCAUCAUUGGCCCUUGGAUUAGGACAUUCACUCACAUAAUAUCCGAUUUGUGUGCAAUGAUAGCAACGAAGUGGUCUCCUGCCAACUCUUUUAGGGAUAAUGGGUGUCUCUACUGGUAUAUAAUGGCUAGGUUUGUUUCAUGUCGGAUGAGUAAAGGAUCCUGGUUGAUCCAUUGUUACUGUAGACUCUGGCAUUGGCUUCGUCAUGGGUAGAUAUUGAUGGUAUCCUGGUUGAUUCAUCACCAAUCCGUGAGUAUUGGAUAUACCUUCUUGGUGAAAUUCAGAGUUUAAGAAAUUGGAAUAAAUCUUGUUUUUUUUAUUCGCUUGAUUUUUAUUCCAGCCAAAUCUAUUAUUUGUUUGUAUUUGAUUGACAUCCCACAAAGUUGGUUGAGUCAUUAUCUGGUUAUUGAGUUGUUGUUGCUUUCGUAAAUUCCAAUAGUUGGUGGUAAUAUGCUUGCCCCCGCAAAAGAUACAUUGUAUAGUCAUUUGGAGAGGUAAAAGAUAUUCUGUUACUAAAUGACCUUGCCCCUUACAAUUGCUGCACCAAACAUUGGGACGCAUAUUGAUUGAUUUAUACCUUUUUUCUUUAUCCUUGGCCAGAUUCACAACCAAUUCAUCCAUUUUUUUCAUCAAUGUUAACAGGAAUGACUCAUUGGGAUCCCUUAAUACCAAUGCAUUUGGCAAUUCUUUUGUAGGUAUUAGUUUUUGAUACAUGGAAUAAGGCACAUAUAGGUGUGAUGAUGAUGGUAGUAUAGUUUGCAAUGGAACGGCAUCCACUAUUCCCUGUGGAAUUGUACCAUAAUCAUUCCUUCCCAGAUAACUUUCUGAUGCGUCAUUCCAAUUUGUCAUUUGAUAACCUCCUUGAGAUGGAAUCAUCGUGGCUCCAACUGUUAAGUUUUGGUCAUAGUGACAUUCCUCCCAUACUUUCGCUCGCUUAAGAGAUGAUGCAAUGGUGGCUGAUUGGGCCUCCUUUACAAACAUCUUCAAUUCUGGUGGGUGUAGUCUAUUAACCAAUAUGGACAACACAAAGGAUUUCAACAUUUGGUUAUUUACCUAUUUUCGAAGUAUAUCUGCUACACUACCAUAAUAUGACUGUACCGCUUCCCCUAGUACCUUUCUGCUCGUCAUUAAUUUUUUUCUAAGACGUUCUUCAAAACCAAUUGGUCGAAAAUGGACUAAAAAUGUAUUUUUUAAUGCCUCCCAAUUGAUAAAUUAUCCCACAGGUUGGCGGUUAUACCACUCAAAUGCUGUGUCUUUCAAUGUUGCUGGCAACCAUCUCAGCCAAAUGUCUUCUGUUCUUCGAUUAUUGGCUACAUACGCCGUCAAGAAUUGAAACAAAUGUUGAUCUGGAUCUACAUCUGGCAAAUCCCAAAAAAUAGGUAGUGGUGCGACACUAGUCGUAUGAUCGCCUACUGCACCCAUUUGUACUGCAAUCAAAAUGGCUGGUCCUCUUGACGCCAUUGAAUUUCUUGUUCCGCUAAACUCCAUUUUAAAAUAAUCUUUGCUUUUUUUUAUUCUAAUUUCCGAGCUCUCAGUGCUCCUCGAUUUAUUGUUAUUUUCUGCAAUUAGUUUUAUUGGUUGAAUUGUAGGUGAAAAUAUCAGAUUUUGAAAUACAAUAUAGUUAUCUUUAUUGGUGACCAAUUUUUGCCAAUCUGAAGAGCCACUAUUGCUCGUUUCAGCGGUACCCCUUACUGAAAAAAUAUCCAAUGGAGUACCAAAUUCUUCUACACCUCCUUCUCUUUCAGUUAACGGGCUCAAGAUUUCUACUAAAAUGUUAACAAAAUUUCCCAUGAGUGUUCUUGAUAGUUUUUCUAACGGUGUCGUAUUACGUGCUUUCCUGCUCGAGAACGCGUUGGGCGUCUGGCUGUAGAAGGUAGUAUGGAGAUUUGCCGAUAGUCAAGCAGUCUAUCAGUUUUUGACUGCUGGAAUAUAAACGACUGCAACAAUGUAUCGUAAAUCUAUACGGAUGCUCUUCGACUGCUUGUCGAAGUCUUUUUUUUUUUUUUUUUUUUUUUUCCAGCCGAUAGGUCUCUAGACGUUACAGAGAACCCCGAACAACCCAAACUGUUAAUCUUCAAUACCCCUUUGUACUUACGAUCUUGUAUCCACUGACUGUCCUGUUAGAUUAACCCAAUAAAUUUCAUUCACUCCGCAUACUCAAUCCUAUAGACACCCCUUUAAUCCUUCAAUCACAGACGUAACUCGAUUUUACAAAACAGUCAAGAGUAUUCAAACCCACUUCAUUAAAAAUCUCGAUUCACCAUUACAAUACUGACUUCAGCAGCGAUUGCCUCAGCCUUCCCAAAACUCUACGAAGAAGAAAAAUCCAAAUUCUAUGUCUUUCCUUCCCCGACCCGAAGCAUGAAGCUCCUCUCUCUAAUUCCCUUGAUCUUCCAAAAACCUCCAAUGAAAAACCGAACUGGUAACCUUGCAAAAGCUUGAAAACUCGCUCUCCCCCCCCCGAUUCCCCCGAAAAAAAACCUCCUCCCUCAAAACUAUAUCCCCCCCUAACCUUAUCCUCUGAAUUUCUUCAAUCUUCCGUCUUAGAUCCAGAAUUGGCUCCCACCUCAAGCUUGGAUCCGAAAUUGGCUCUCGCCGUCAAGCUUUCUCCUCCGUUUUUACCUUUAAGAAAUCCAUUUACCGAAAACAACGUUCCCUGAAACGGCACAGAGAACAGGACAGCCUGAAACAGAAUCGAACCCCGUAAUCGGGACCACAUUGAGUCGCCCGACCAAUUCAGGUCCUAUAUUGGGAAAGAUGCCCGUAGUAACCUGGAUGUUCCCGUAAUUGGGUCAAAUUGGUCCUCGCGUCAGAUUAGCUAAGACCCGUAGUAAGACCUGGAUUUCUCGUAAUUAGACUGCAUUGGGUUGACCGGCAAAUUCAGGUCUCAUAUUGGAUAAGAGGACCCGGAUUGGAUUAUCGAAAUUGGAUCCAAUUGGCUCCUCGAACCCAUCGUGUGAAUUGGUCCUUCUCUUCCUGCUGACUCCCGUUAUUGGAAUCGAAUGGAGCAUUUCAGUAUGCACCGGCUGACUGUAACGGAGUGACUGAACCUGACCACUCAGUAUUUGUACUGGAGUUGGUUGAUGCUCCCAAUAUUCGAGGUAACUGAAUAUUAAUAAAAUUCCCCUUUCUUUUUAUUUUCACUGUAUACUCAUGUUACAACACGACAACGAUAGAUACAACUGCAGAAUUAAUAGUCUGUCCAGUUCUUGAUAUGUUCGGAUGCACCGACAAGCUUACAACUAUGGUUUAAUCCAAUUCUAUCGAUGCUUCUUUUUAAGAUUACGUUCUUGCUCCUAUCUAAGCAAGUUUCUUCCUUAUGCUCUUCCUUGUCUUUCUCUCAACUGAUUUAUUUUCCUCAAUGCAAUUCUCUCGUUCUUAUUAACCAUAAUCUUGCUUCAAACACUACUGAAAUUGUCUUUCAUUGAUAAUUUUCUCACAUGUUUGGUAAUUAAUUCCUAACACUCAAAGCUAUUAUCACUCCGCGGCGGCGGUGCCAAAAUGUGAUUGCUCGUUUUACUUAUUCCAGAAGAAACCUCCCAACAUAAACUCGUAUAGAGAGAUUCAAACAUGGGAAAUGACUAGUUGCUUAAGCAUUCACGUUAGGGUCACACAAUCAAUUACCUCCUGAAUGUAUCGUCUCUAUUUUCAAUAUCUGAACACACAAGGAAAAUAUAAUCUCCUCCUUCACCUUAUCGGUCUCUUCCUUAUAGCAAUUCAGUCAUACUAAUAACUGCUAUUUCCACCAAUAUAUUCACCCUCAUAAUCUCCAACUAUAAUACUGUGCCCUCACAACUUUCAGCACACAAUUAUCCUCGUUCCAAUCACUGGAAUUCUUCACACAGAACUACCAUUCACAUUACAAUGUUUCACACAAACACAGACUCAUUUUCUCUAUUGAACUACAAUCAGAUUUCAGCAUUCAAUCUUUCUUCUUCUCAAAUAAUACCAAUCACAUUUCUAUUCCAUAAUUCACUUCACAAUAUUCAAAAACUCUCAAU
rnacentral:lncRNA from 1 species